rnacentral:rRNA from 1 species
CCUACUGGAGGCUGCAGUGAGGAAUAUUGGUCAAUGGGCGGAAGCCUGAACCAGCCAAGUCGCGUGAGGGAAUAAGGCCCUACGGGUCGUAAACCUCUUUUGCCGGGGAGCAAGGGCGGGGACGUGUCCCGGCACGGAGAGUACCCGGAGAAAAAGCAUCGGCUAACUCCGUGCCAGCAGCCGCGGUAAUACGGAGGAUGCGAGCGUUAUCCGGAUUUAUUGAGUUUAAAGGGUGCGUAGGCGGGCUUUUAAGUCAGCGGUAAAAAUUCGGGGCUCAACCCCGUCCGGCCGUUGAAACUGGGGGCCUUGAGUGGGCGAGAAGAAGGCGGAAUGCGUGGUGUAGCGGUGAAAUGCGUAGAUAUUAGGAGGAACACCAGUGGCGAAGGCGGCUUACUGGACAGUAACUGACGUUGAGGCUCGAAAGCGUGGGGAGCAAACAGGAUUAGAUACCCUGGUAGUC